CGCACGCGGGGAGUCGCGGCCUCACGGCCGAUCCGGUGUCUGGACCUUGUCCGACCAAUCCCCCGCGGAGGAUAAACCGGAAAACAGGAAAGUU
rnacentral:sRNA from 1 species